CAGGAACAGCACAGCAGUGGCAAAUUGUUUUCGUACCCCCAUGGAGCAGAGAAAACAUUUUCCUGUUUUUUAAAAAACACUAAUAUUUUAAAAACUUAAAGAGAAAAGCAAGAAUAUCUCUUUAGCAGAGCAGAGUAAGAAGCUUAAAAAGCCCCAACAUUUCCACAGCUGGCCACAACUACAGAGGGAGCAUCAGUCACCAUGCACUGAGGGUAAGUAAACUCAGAGCUCAGCCUGCCCUUUGGCCAAGAUGGUAACAGUAGAGUGUUUAAAUGUUUUGUUUGUUUUGUUUGAUGUGUGUGAAUGUUUUGCCUGCAUGCAUGUGUUUAGUGCCCACAGAGGGCAGAAAGGGCACCAGAUCACCUGGAUCUGGAAUCACAGAUAUUUGUCAGUCACUAGGUAGGAGGUGUGAAUUGAACUUGGGUCCUCUACAAGGGCGGUCAGUGCUCUUAACCAGAUCCACGUCAGAAUUUCAUUCUACUAUAAGUACCAUGAACAACCUAAAUCUGACAGGCAGCUUCAUGAUAUCUUCCAAUUUUGAAUGGUAACACCACUAGAGAAGUUUGGUAAAUAUGUCAGAAACACCUGGCUUGGUUGCUGAGCUAGAAGCUGCAGGCACAGAGGUGUGUCUACUGCUGCUUGCUGUGAGGACUGGGUCCAAGUUGUCAGGAAUCACAUCUUGGAAGUCGGAAGCCAGAUCAUCACUGCCGAAUCAUAAUUCACCAGUUCAGCUGCAUUUACAUAGCACUAUAUCCAAUGAUCUUGACCAGAUCCCUCAAGCUCCUGCACUGUGACCUCCAAGCUCUGAGGGACAGCAACACGGAAUGAUGGGCCGAAAUAAAACCUUUU
rnacentral:lncRNA from 1 species